rnacentral:tRNA from 6 species
GCCGACGUAGCUCAGUGGUUAGAGCACCUGUUUUGUAAACAGGGUGUCGUGAGUUCGAAUCUCACCGUCGGCU